rnacentral:rRNA from 1 species
CGGACAGUGUCUGGUGGGUAGUUUGACUGGGGCGGUCUCCUCCUAAAGAGUAACGGAGGAGCACGAAGGUUGGCUAAUCCUGGUCGGACAUCAGGAGGUUAGUGCAAUGGCAUAAGCCAGCUUGACUGCGAGCGUGACGGCGCGAGCAGGUGCGAAAGCAGGUCAUAGUGAUCCGGUGGUUCUGAAUGGAAGGGCCAUCGCUCAACGGAUAAAAGGUACUCCGGGGAUAACAGGCUGAUACCGCCCAAGAGUUCAUAUCGACGGCGGUGUUUGGCACCUCGAUGUCGGCUCAUCACAUCCUGGGGCUGAAGUAGGUCCCAAGGGUAUGGCUGUUCGCCAUUUAAAGUGGUACGCGAGCUGGGUUUAGAACGUCGUGAGACAGUUCGGUCCCUAUCUGCCGUGGGCGCUGGAGAACUGAGGGGGGCUGCUCCUAGUACGAGAGGACCGGAGUGGACGCAUCACUGGUGUUCGGGUUGUCAUGCC